rnacentral:rRNA from 1 species
AGAUUGAACGCUGGCGGCAGGCCUAACACAUGCAAGUCGAGCGGCAGCACGGGUACUUGUACCUGGUGGCGAGCGGCGGACGGGUGAGUAAUGCCUAGGAAUCUGCCUGGUAGUGGGGGAUAACGCUCGGAAACGGACGCUAAUACCGCAUACGUCCUACGGGAGAAAGCAGGGGACCUUCGGGCCUUGCGCUAUCAGAUGAGCCUAGGUCGGAUUAGCUAGUUGGUGAGGUAAUGGCUCACCAAGGCGACGAUCCGUAACUGGUCUGAGAGGAUGAUCAGUCACACUGGAACUGAGACACGGUCCAGACCUCCUACGGGAGCAGCAGGUGGGAAUAGUGGACAAGUGGGACGAAAGCCUGACUCCAGCCAUCGCCGCGUGUGUAGGAAGUAAGGUUCGUUACGGAUUUACGUAAAGUC